rnacentral:other from 1 species
UGACCCCUGCGGUGUUCGUUAAGAAUGCAUGCAGUUGAAAGAACCGAUACCCGUACUCAGGGAAAUCAGGUCUCGGCGGAUCGGACACGCCUACUCGAUAGGAUCUCCGGACGUGAGCAACGAUUACCCACUUGGCAGUGAUGGGUUCUCUUCAAUAAGCAUUCUGACGGCACAGGUGGAGGUGAG